UAUCGAUGAUGCAACGUAUAUUUGCUACUCUCGACCGUCGGGAUGACGACAGUAACCACCAAGAUCGCUGAGAUA
rnacentral:snoRNA from 1 species